GGGCCGAAAGCUGGCGCAGCAGAUGGAGAGCCCCCCUCGCUCCCUCCCCUGCUCCCUGUUUACACAGUCUCCCUGGAGAUGCGCCGCGCAGGCUCCUCCAGCUCCCGGGGGAAGGGAGGGAGCUUCACCUCGCUCCCCCCGCCCCGAAAGCCUUGUUCCCGUUAAGGCAGGGAAACCCAAAUGAGGCACACGAGGUGGAAAUGCCGCGCUGGGAAUGCCGAAAGAAUAACCAUCCCCACGGCACAGGGCAGCCAAAAACAGCCGUGGAGGGAGCGGGGGCGGAGGGAACCCGCGGGAUUUGGCCACAGUCUCCAGCUCCCGGGGCAGGCAGUGCCGGGCUGGCAGGACCAGGAGCUGAGCAUCCCGCUGGGACCCCCAGGCAGGCGAUGCCAGCGGGAUGUAGGAGGGAGCACUCAGAGCUGCUGCAGGGAGCUGGGCACUGCAGGAACACCACGGCCAGCCUGACCCAGCAGCGUGGGGCUGCUUCAAAGCCAAGGUUGCCAGAAGGGCAUUUUCCAGCCUGUGGGAAAAGCAAAACCCUGGAAAACUGCAAUGAAAAAGCCACUUGGACCAGCACAGCAAGAAAUGCUGGGGAGAGGAUCCUGCACAGCAAAGAUCAGCCCUUUGCCAGCAGGAGCAGCACAGUUAUCCCCAAGGUUUCCAGGUGCAAGGAGCUGCUGUUGCUGGAGUGUUUGCACGUGGGAGAGGUGAAAGCCCUUUCCCUGUGUCUGAAUUCUCUAGGGGUUUGGCUCCUGCUGGCUGGAGGCUGCAGAGCGACCUCUGGGACAAUGGGAUCCUGGAGCAGCAGCAUCGAGGGAGUCCUCAGCUCUGCGACACCCAGAAAGAGCAAAGGGGAAGGAUCUGACCCGGCACAGCCCCGGGGACGUAGCCCUGAGGUCCCCAGCUCCAUCAUGCUGGCUGGGGAACAGGACAGGAGCGGGAGUCCCAGGCUGUCCCCAGGCAGGGGCCGCCAAACAGAAGCAGCUGCAGGAGGUGACUGAAGGGCGAUGCCCCUGGAAACCCCCCUGGCCAGGGCAGCACAGCCACGGAGGGGUGUGGGGAGGUUUUUGAAGCCUUUUCCUCCGUGGUCUCUGUGCAGGCAGAACAAAGCCUCUGACACCAUUUCUCAGGCACAGCCCCAGCAGAGCAGCACAAAGAAAAGGGAUGUUUAAGAGACAACCCACAAGCAGCUGAUAACCUCUGACCUCUGCCUGCAGAAACGGGAGGUGGUUGGGAAGAGAAGGUGCAGAAGGUGCCUGUUCCCCUGGGAGAGACACAGACCCACUCACCCCAGCAGGGCCAGCCCAGCCAUGGGGAACAGAGCCCUGGGGUGAGAGGAGGCAGGAGCAAACACGCUGUGGUUUGGGGGCUUUUUUUGCUAAAGUUUCAGUUCUGCAGCCCCAGUUCACAUCCCCCCAGCACAAGGAAUGGUGUGGGAGUGCCGGGCCCGACACGGGGCUCUGCCCCUGCUCGCAGCACUGCACGCUCGGCAGCUCCGCACCUGAGCUGCGCCAGCAGGUGCCGGGAGGGGGCUGAGCACAGCCACAGCAGCAUCAUUUGCACCGGCAGCAGGGAGAGAGCAGCAGCAGCAGCAGCAGAGCCGGGCUCCAGUGGCUUCCCCCGCGGUGGCCCGAGGGAGGGAAGGAGGUGUCCUCAGAGGUGGUGCUGCUCGGACAAUCCUCUCUCAGGUACAGGGAGGGGACUUGUUGUGAUGCGCUAGAUAGUAAUUUGGAUGCUGCACUGGGGUUGUGUUACAUGAAUGUUUCCCCCGUCCCCUCAGAUGGUGUAUCCCUCGGAUAAGGUGGUCUGUCCCCUGUAGCCUCUCCCUUCGCCCCUCCUCACUGGUGUCCCCUUGGCUGCAGCCUUCCGUCCCCGCCUCCCAUUCCGCGGGUAUAAAUGUCCCUUGGGUUUGGAGCUCUCUCUUUUUUUCACCUGGAAGCCCCACGAUGCAGAUGUCCCCUUCCAGCUAAUAAACAGGACAUCGGAACCACGUGGAGAAAGAGCGCUUCUCGUCCUUUACUUCAUCCAUGUAGGAUCCAUGUGGGCUUAAAUCCCAAGCUAGCCGGAGGGAUUUACAGCCCGAAACCCACGGGUUCCGUCAGGGACUCUUGGGGAUGAUCCUGUGCGAGGGGAGGAGUUGGACUCCAUGAUCCUUGUGGGUUCCUCCCAACUCAGCUUUUUCUGUGAUUUAGUAGCAGGAAAAAAACAUAAAUAAAAUAGAAUUACAGGACAACACGGGGGCAGCUGAGA